CAAAACGUAGCUUAACCCAAAGCACCUGGCCUACACCCAGGAGAUAUCGUACAACGAUCGUUUUGA
ensembl:Mt_tRNA